rnacentral:rRNA from 1 species
GACGAACGCUGGCGGCGUGCUUAACACAUGCAAGUCGAACGGAAAGGCCCUGCUUUUGUGGGGUGCUCGAGUGGCGAACGGGUGAGUAACACGUGAGUAACCUGCCCUUGACUUUGGGAUAACUUCAGGAAACUGGGGCUAAUACCGGAUAGGAGCUCCUGCUGCAUGGUGGGGGUUGGAAAGUUUCGGCGGUUGGGGAUGGACUCGCGGCUUAUCAGCUUGUUGGUGGGGUAGUGGCUUACCAAGGCUUUGACGGGUAGCCGGCCUGAGGGGGUGACCGGCCACAUUGGGACUGAGAUACGGCCCAGACUCCUACGGGAGGCAGCAGUGGGGAAUAUUGCACAAUGGGCGGAAGCCUGAUGCAGCAACGCCGCGUGCGGGAUGACGGCCUUCGGGUUGUAAACCGCUUUCGCCUGUGACGAAGCGUGAGUGACGGUAAUGGGUAAAGAAGCACGGGCUAACUACGUG